UCUCGAUAGCGUAAAAGUUAACUCUUUGUAUGGUGUGGAACGUUGGCCUAUGUUUGCCGCUAGGGGCGCUGUUCCGACUCCAUACAAAUUUGAGUUAACUUUUACGCUAUCGA
rnacentral:pre_miRNA from 9 species